UACGUAGGGGGCAAGCGUUGUCCGGAAUCAUUGGGCGUAAAGCGCGUGUAGGCGGCCCGGUAAGUCCGCUGUGAAAGUCGGGGGCUCAACCCUCGAAUGCCGGUGGAUACUGUCGGGCUAGAGUGCGGGAGAGGCGAGUGGAAUUCCUGGUGUAGCGGUGAAAUGCGCAGAUAUCAGGAGGAACACCAAUUGCGAAGGCAGCUCGCUGGAACGUGACUGACGCUGAGACGCGAAAGCGUGGGGAGCAAACAGG
rnacentral:rRNA from 1 species